rnacentral:snRNA from 1 species
UACUUUGCGCAGUGGCGGUACCGUAGCGAAUGAAGUUUAUCUGAGGCGCGGUUAUUGCUUU